GAGUUUGAUCUUGGCUCAGGGUGGUAGGAACAUUGAGGCUGGGGCCGCCUGAGGCUUUGGCAUGAGGCUGGGGGGCUGAGGAGAGAUGUGAAACAGUUACACCGGGGGUGAAGGUGUCAGAGAGGCCUCUCAGUUUCAGCUUGAGUCGGCAGGCAGGCCAUGGUGGUGGCUGGUGGGGAAGUCACCACUGCCCCAGGCCAGAGAGGAUUGCCUCUGAGCCAGGGAUGUCCAGGGCUGCCUCUGAGAGAGGUACAGGUGGGAGUGGACACGGGCAGGUCAACCACUGUCCCUGCCCCAUGACCCCGACACAGGUCAGAUGACCCAGAUGGUGGGGGGCCAGGGCAGGAGCAGUUGAGGGGCCAGGCUAUCAGCUGAGUCGAAAA
rnacentral:rRNA from 1 species